rnacentral:rRNA from 1 species
CAGCAGCCGCGGGAAUACGUAGGGUGCGAGCGUUAAUCGGAAUUACUGGGCGUAAAGCGUGCGCAGGCGGUUUGUUAAGACAGAUGUGAAAUCCCCGGGCUUAACCUGGGAACUGCAUUUGUGACUGGCCGGCUAGAGUAUGGCAGAGGGAGGUGGAAUUCCACGUGUAGCAGUGAAAUGCGUAGAUAUGUGGAGGAACACCGAUGGCGAAGGCAGCCUCCUGGGCCAAUACUGACGCUCAUGCACGAAAGCGUGGGGAGCAAACAGGAUUAGAUACCCGUGUAGUCCCUGUCUCUUAUAC